rnacentral:rRNA from 1 species
CGGCGCGCCUAACACAUGCAAGUCGCACGAGAGGCUCUUCGGAGUAGUACAGUGGCGAACGGGUGAGUAAGACAUGGGUAACCUGCCUUUGAGAGGGGAAUAACCAGCCGAAAGGCUGGCUAAUACCCCAUACCCUUCCGGUCCUUCGGGUAAGGAAGGAAAGUUGCAUCGUGGAUGCGGCGCUCAGAGAUGGGCUCAUGGCCUAUCAGCUUGUUGGUGGGGUAAUGGCCUACCAAGGCAACGACGGGUAGCUGGUCUGAGAGGACGAUCAGCCACACUGGCACUGAGAUACGGGCCAGACUCCUACGGGAGGCAGCAGUGAGGAAUAUUGCGCAAUGGGCGAAAGCCUGACGCAGCGACGCCGCGUGGGGGAAGAAGGUUUUCGGAUUGUAAACCCCUUUUAGGAGGAAAGAUGGGGUGGGUAACCACCCGGACGGUACCUCCAGAAAAAGCCACGGCUGACUUCGUGCCAGCAGCCGCGGUAAUACGAAGGUGGCGAGCGUUGUUCGGAUUUACUGGGCGUAAAGAGCACGUAGGCGGUUUAGUAAGCCCCUUGGGAAAGCUCCGGGCUUAACCCGGAAAGGUCGAGGGGGACUGCUAAGCUAGAGGGCGGGAGAGGAGCGCGGAAUUCCCGGUGUAGCGGUGAAAUGCGUAGAUAUCGGGAAGAAGGCCGGUGGCGAAGGCGGCGCUCUGGAACGUCUCUGACGCUGAGGUGCGAAAGCGUGGGGAGCAAACA